GAGGAGCUGUCCUUAGUACGAGAGGACCGGGAUGGACGGACCGCUGGUGUACCGGUUGAGCUGCUAAGCUCAUGGCCGGGUAGCCAAGUCUGGCAGGGAUAAACGCUGAGGCAUCUAAGCGUGAAGCCCCCCUCAAGAUGAGAUAUCCCAUUCGCAAGAAGUAAGACCCCUUGAAGACGACGAGGUAGAUAGGGCAGAGGUGGAAGUGCAGUAAUGCAUGGAGCUGACUGUUACUAAUCGGUCGAGGGCUUAUCCAG
rnacentral:rRNA from 1 species